CCUACGGGUGGUAGCAGUGAGGAAUAUUGGUCAAUGGGCGGGAGCCUGAACCAGCCAAGCCGCGUGAGGGAAGAAGGUACAGCGUAUCGUAAACCUCUUUUGUCAGGGAACAAAGGCGGGGACUAGUCCCCGGAUGAGGGUACCUGAAGAAAAAGCAUCGGCUAACUCCGUGCCAGCAGCCGCGGUAAUACGGAGGAUGCGAGCGUUAUCCGGAUUGAGUGGUUUGAAGGGGUGCGAAGGCGGCCUGUUAAGUCAGCGGUAAAAGCCCGGGGCUCAACCCCGGCGAGCCGUGGAACAUGGCGGGCGGGAGUUGGAGAGAAGUACGCGGAAGGCGCGGUGUAGCGGUGAAAUGCUUAGAUAUCGCGCAGAAGCCCGAGUGCGAAGGCAGCGUACCGGCUCCACACUGACGCUGAGGCACGAAAGCGUGGGUAUCGAACAGGAUUAGAUACCCCUGUAGUC
rnacentral:rRNA from 1 species